GCAGUCGUGGCCGAGUGGUUAAGGCGAUUAGCUAGAAAUCCAUUCGGGUCUCCCCGCACAGGUUCAAAUCCUGUCGACUGCG
rnacentral:tRNA from 2 species